ensembl:snRNA U6 U6 spliceosomal RNA
GUGCUCAGUUCGGCAGUACAUAUGCGCAAAUCAGAAUGAUAAGAAGAUGAUAGCAUGGCCCCUGCACAAGGACGACAUACAAAUUUGUGAACCAUUUCUUAUCUUU